GCGAGGGGAGUGAAAAAGAACCUGAAACCGUGUACGUACAAGCAGUGGGAGCACGCUUCGGCGUGUGACUGCGUACCUUUUGUAUAAUGGGUCAGCGACUUAUAUUCUGUAGCAAGGUUAACCGAAUAGGGGAGCCGAAGGGAAACCGAGUCUUAACUGGGCGUUAAGUUGCAGGGGAUAGACCCGAAACCCGGUGAUCUAGCCAUGGGCAGGUUGAAGGUUGGGUAACACUAACUGGAGGACCGAACCGACUAAUGUUGAAAAAUUAGCGGAUGACUUGUGGCUGGGGGUGAAAGGCCAAUCAAACCGGGAGAUAGCUGGUUCUCCCCGAAAGCUAUUUAGGUAGCGCCUCGUGAAUUCAUCUCCGGGGGUAGAGCACUGUUUCGGCAAGGGGGUCAUCCCGACUUACCAACCCGAUGCAAACUGCGAAUACCGGAGAAUGUUAUCACGGGAGACACACGGCGGGGGCUAACGUCCGUCGUGAAGAGGGAAACAACCCAGACCGCCAGCUAAGGUCCCAAAGUCAUGGUUAAGUGGGAAACGAUGUGGGAAGGCCCAGACAGCCAGGAUGUUGGCUUAGAAGCAGCCAUCAUUUAAAGAAAGCGUAAUAGCUCACUGGUCGAGUCGGCCUGCGCGGAAGAUGUAACGGGGCUAAACCAUGCACCGAAGCUGCGGCAGCGACGCUUAUGCGUUGUUGGGUAGGGGAGCGUUCUGUAAGCCUG
rnacentral:rRNA from 1 species